AACGAACGCUGGCGGCAUGCCUAAUACAUGCAAGUCGAACGAGAUCUUCGGAUCUAGUGGCGCACGGGUGCGUAACGCGUGGGAAUCUGCCCUUGGGUUCGGAAUAACUUCUGGAAACGGCUGCUAAUACCGGAUGAUGACGUAAGUCCAAAGAUUUAUCGCCCAAGGAUGAGCCCGCGUAGGAUUAGGUAGUUGGUGAGGUAAAGGCUCACCAAGCCGACGAUCCUUAGCUGGUCUGAGAGGAUGAUCAGCCACACUGGGACUGAGACACGGCCCAGACUCCUACGGGAGGCAGCAGUAGGGAAUAUUGGACAAUGGGCGAAAGCCUGAUCCAGCAAUGCCGCGUGAGUGAUGAAGGCCUUAGGGUUGUAAAGCUCUUUUACCCGGGAUGAUAAUGAGAGUACCGGGAGAAUAAGCUCCGGCUAACUCCGUG
rnacentral:rRNA from 1 species